AGGUCACCCCCCAAAACUACUCUCUUCUCUCUUCUUUCUGCAAUUGUUUCUCUUCUCCUGUGUAUGAUCAGCGAUGGCACUUAUUCCAUCACUUUAGGAUUAGGACAAUGGUUAAGCAAGUAAACCAGCUUGAAAACUACCUAAUAGUUAUGAGCCAGUUUGGGAUCGUGCGCCGCUGUCUGGUGGUUGACAAAACAUGAGCUAUAGUUUCAUGAUAUGCAAUUUGUUUCUUCUGUUUAUCCUUAUCAUUCUACUAUUAACCUUAAAAUAAAAAUAAAAAAAUUGAAAAGAAAAUUCAUAUCGUGUUUUGAUA